GUUUAUAGAGAAGAAUCACACGUUUGCCUUUUGUAGUGUGCCAUUUCCGAAUGACUGUUCUUGCUGGAAUAUGGUCACUAGUCAAUGUUCUACAUUGAGGAAGUGUGUGGUGACUUGUACAUCACUGUCCGUCUCUAUAGUUAGAAUGAAUAUAUCCUAGGAACUUCCUGUCUUUGCUUUAAGACAUUAAUAAAGCUUUUCUUUUCUUGGAUUCCUUCGCUCACAUACCCCUUUCUCCUGAGCUAGUGGAGGGAGGUGGUGUGGACCUAGAAAGGAAAUGGAUGGCCCAUGGUGGGGGCUUAGGUUAGAGUUGUAUCAUAUAGGCCAACUAUUUGAUCCACACAGAGAUCAAAGUGAGCCAAGACUGGGCAGAAGCCACUGCCCAGCAGCAGAUCUCCACCACUCUGCCUAAGUGUAGGUGCAGAGUGUGCACUGGGACCUUAUUCUGGGGUCUUAGCCCAUUGGGGAUCUCCAGUGGCAGAUGGGAAACCUCUAUAGCAAACUGAUAAUUGCUUUAUAAUUCUUUGGUAAUGACAGCUCAGGGAAGGUGAACGUCAGGAUUGAGUGACUUGAAUUGUCACUGGAUGUGGGAAUUGAAUUGUCUUACUGCCCUUAACCUGCUCUCACUGGGGCAGGUUCCAGGAACUUGAACUAAAACUGCCUAUUCAAGGCUCCCUUUGCCCCACAUCAAAAGCCUUGGUUUGUGUAUACACAAAACUGUGGUGUUGGCAUGCUGGCCAGUGACUGUUUCUAUAGGAAGUAUUUGCAUGUGGCACUGGGCUUGGUAAGUUGAGCCUUCUGAGCCCCAGACUCCCCGGUCACCUGGCCUACCCAGCACCACAUUUUUUGUUGGCUCCAGGUUUUGCUCUCUGCACAAAUCCUUCAGUGGUCCUAUCUCCUUUCCCCACCACAGUAAGAAAGCCAUUUUUGAAAAUCCAGAAUGUAGCCUCCUGUAUCAUGAUGACAAUGAUGACUUCUCAGGGGUAUCCUUGUGCCAACCAAGUGACUUCCUUUGUCUCUGUGCCUUUGCUGUCCCCUCUUCUGCACCUACUCAACCUUCUCUAGAGAGUCUCAGGCACCAUCUUCACCAUCUUUAUUUCUUUCAACCUUGGGGUAUGGCCUGGUGUGCAUACAAACUGCCUUUCUCCUACCUGGUUUCUGGUUGGUAUGAGUACCUCAAAAGCAGGGACUGUCAUCACAGAACUAGAUAUGCACAUGCUCCUAGCCUGGGGGGGGAGGAGACUGAGACAACUCACUAGUUAAAGACUGAGAAUAAACAUAGGGGAAACAUUCCAGGCACUGAGACAAUGUUGAAACUACCCAGGAAAGUCCCUACUGAAUUCUUAAAUUACCUUUUAUUUGCUCUAUGCAAUGUUGACUGUUUGGGUAAGGUGGGAAAACUAGUUCUACAGAGAAGCCAUGGCAAUCGUUUGAAAAAUGUUGGGAAAAUGCAAUACACAUAAACUAGAGAUUUGUAAUAAUGCCACUGGUUAAUCUAUUUCUGUAGCAGAAUAAUUUUCUCUAUGGUGUUGUGCUGCAGUAAUAGGGAAACUUGAAAAUUCCAAAGUCCUUCCUUCCCUUUUUUAAAGUGUGUGUGUGUGUGUGUGUGUGUGUGUGUGAUAUUUAUUACAUUAUUUUGAAAGAGAAUUAUUUGUCUAUUUGUAGAUAUAAUAAGAACAGCCAAAGUAAAUCUUUCUACUUGGCAAGGAACAUACACUUUCUAAGACUCAGGCCUUAACCAGUAGCUUGGAAGACCAACUCAAGUGUUAGGAAAUGUGUAGUUUUGUUGCCUCUGUUACUUCAGUCUUAGAGUCCUUGUCUCCUUUAAUAAUAUUUAAAAUCUUGUGCCUAAAAAUUCAUUUUGCUUAAUUCUGAUGUAGACAUGCAUGUUUACAUUUAUAUUUGUUGUGUAGUCUCUUUCAAGAUAAAUAUAUU
rnacentral:lncRNA from 1 species